rnacentral:rRNA from 1 species
CCUACGGGGGGCUGCAGUGAGGAAUAUUGGUCAAUGGACGAGAGUCUGAACCAGCCAAGUAGCGUGAAGGAUGACUGCCCUAUGGGUUGUAAACUUCUUUUAUAUGGGAAUAAAAUGUUCCACGUGUGGGAUUUUGUAUGUACCAUAUGAAUAAGGAUCCGCUAACUCCGUGCCAGCAGCCGCGGUAAUACGGAGGAUCCGAGCGUUAUCCGGAUUUAUUGGGUUUAAAGGGAGCGUAGGUGGAUUGUUAAGUCAGUUGUGAAAGUUUGCGGCUCAACCGUAAAAUUGCAGUUGAAACUGGCAGUCUUGAGUACAGUAGAGGUGGGCGGAAUUCGUGGUGUAGCGGUGAAAUGCUUAGAUAUCACGAAGAACUCCGAUUGCGAAGGCAGUUCACUGGACUGCAACUGACACUGAGGCUCGAAAGUGUGGGUAUCAAACAGGAUUAGAUACCCUUGUAGUC